UACGUAGGGUGCGAGCGUUAAUCGGAAUUACUGGGCGUAAAGCGUGCGUAGGCGGUUCGCCAAGUCUGAUGUGAAAGCCCCGGGCUCAACCUGGGAACUGCAUUGGAAACUAACGGGCUCGAGUGUGGCAGAGGGGGGUGGAAUUCCACGUGUAGCAGUGAAAUGCGUAGAGAUGUGGAGGAACACCGAUGGCGAAGGCAGCCCCCUGGGCUAACACUGACGCUCAGGCACGAAAGCGUGGGGAGCAAACAGG
rnacentral:rRNA from 1 species